AUGAGAGACCAAACCCUCUCCAGCACUGUCCUGCUGCCACAGAUGCUCCAUAGCUCUGAGUCACCUCUGUGCACAGUGUCUGAAGGUGGAUGCCAAAAAAAGCAGGGCCAGUCCUCCAAAAGACCUUCACCUGAAGAUGGUGACAUCCUCUACCAUGCCUGGGUUUGGGAAUUCCAACUGCAGGCUACAGGCCAAGUCAAGAACAUCGAGAAGACAUGUUCAUAUUUCCAGAUCAGUACCAGACACAGCUCUGCAGAUAUGAAAAAGAAACCACCCUUGUCAGGGUGUCCCAGGAAAGGACAAAGAGCAACACUGGGAAGGUGGUGGCAUCUGUGUCCUUGCAGAUAGCCAAGGACAAAAUCCAACCAGACAAGGCACUGAGCAACCUGCUUAGCACUUCACUUAGUGAAUAACCAGAGAUUCUAUGCAGAAUCUCAAGUCCUGCAAGCUGUUCUGCAGCUCCCUAGCAAGCAGUCGCCCCCCCACCUCACCCUUAGGACAGUUUUUCUUCAGAGCCAAUCCCAUUUCAGUAUCAGGGACUUGAAUUUGGCCUUACAUCUGAUGAUCUCAGAAGAGUUCAUUAGGUCAGGAAAAAGAUUUUUGGGGAGCUUCCCUAGUCACAAACCCCUUAGUCCAGCAUCACCACAAGUGAUGAUAGCUUGUAUCAAACACUCAUUAUUAACAGUAGUGCAUUAAUGACCGAAUCCAAAGCAGAAUGCUGCCAAGGGACAAGUAUUUAACUACUGCAGGAAACUGCAGAGACAAGGCUUCUUUUGGCAAGAAGGCAAAGAGAUUAAGUGUGUUGAGUUUUUUGUUGUUUUUGUUACUGCAGUAAGGGAAGGGAGCAGAAAAGGUCAGAUGGAGAGAGAGGAGAGAGAGGACUGCACAGGAGGUGACUGGAUUGCAAGAGAAAGUGAGGAGGGACAGUAGGGACAAGAGAGAUUCUUACAUGUUUGAGCUGGGUUUAAGGAAAAAGCAUCUCGCUUCUUUGCAGAGAAUUUACCUACUCCUACUCAAAAGCAAUAAAGUCAAAUAGAAAAAGACUAGAUGAGCUGGG
rnacentral:lncRNA from 1 species